UUUACAAAUAUUCAUCAUCACUGCUUCAUUUACUACUGUUUUGGCUUGAUAUUUACAAUUUAAUUUAAGUACCCUUUUUCAAAUGAUUUAUUUUUACCAACGAAAGUAUUCUAGCACUUUUCGUAUACCUAAUUUACAUUCACAUGAGUAUUUCUUUCUAAAAGUGUUCACUUGUAUAUACUAUCGUUGCAUUUGUAUUCCCAAUAUACUUUGAUUUAGAUGUAAAGUAAAUAAAAGAAACUUUUACAUAUUAUAUUAAGAUGAAAGUGCGUCAAUAGGUUUAUAUUUAACAUAUAUUUUUAAAUCACCAAUAUAUCGUGACAUUCUGAACUAAGACGUGGAAUAAUUGUAGAAUAGAUAUAAUAAUAGUAAUAACUUCUGUAGGAUACAAAAGAGCAGCUACUGGAUACGGCUCAUAUGAUCCACACAGAAGCAGUCAUUUUGACAGUGGAUUAGGACGGUUGAACAGAUGGGGAACAAAUUCAGGAAGGAGAUCUAAUUUAGGAUGGAGAUCUAAUUCAAGAUGGAGUCAGCUAGGAUAUUAAGAAAGCCGAGGACACAAGGAGUACAUUACAACAUCUAAACAUGACAUAAGCCAUCCGUAGAUUUUUACUUUUUAAAAUAAAAUUUGUGAAAUUAA